AUUGGUUAAUGGCAGUAAAGCCCGCCCACCAGCUCUGGUCGGCUCCUUUAAGAGAAAGCCAUCACCGUUCCCCAGUCUUUCACCGCCUGCAGAUUCCGGAAGCUCCCAGCCGAGGACGUCGGGUCUUACCGUCCUUGCUGCUUUGCCACCCCAUUCCCCUCAAUAAAGUGUUUUGAACCCAACCCUGGUGUCGGUGUGUGUCGUUGGCGACGCGCUGUCUUUGAGCCCCCGCCGAGCCUCCUCGUGGCGCCGGGGGUCAAUCUGCAGCGCUAGAGCAUGUGCUUGCGCAUAACUGGGGCCGCUUGGCCCCCCGCGGGCGGCCCUUUUAACCGCGAGCGACAAUAAGUAACCUGACUGUCCGGCUGCUAGGCUGGGCAAUUUUCCAGGGGUUUUGCCACGACAGGCCUCAAGCCGUAAUACCAAGGCUGGAAUGGCGUGUGAGGGGAACGGUGACUGACGGGGACACGCGGACUCUGCUGCGUAGUGAGUGCCCCUCUGUGCUCCCCAGCCCCGCCCUCCCCGAGUGCAUCGCGCGCGCUGUGCCUUUGCCAUGAGUUCGACCUAAGUCCCAAGCUGUCGUGUCUGCCAUCAGACGCGCAGAUUUAGUUGAAGGCAGCUUGGAAUGGUGUCUGCAGGGCUGCUGUGUACUUGACAUAAACGGAUUCAGUGUGGAACUGCAUGAGUUAACUCCUGACUAAAGGGGUAAUCGACCUCUUUACAAACAACCACCAUGCAGGAGUAUGUGUGACAAGCAUGGGACUAAAGCUUCGGGCAGGUUAAUCUGUCACUCCUAAACAGUUCAAAAUUACAGGGCGGUUGUGAAGACGAAUUAGAUUUUAUAUAUAGUUGGGGACAACAUAGACACCUAGUUACACAGUCCAGAUUCUAUGGUUGGUAAAAGAUCUUGCACAAGGGCUCCAGUGAAAUGUGCAUCAGUUCUGAGUACAAGGCAGCAGUGGUGGGCAAGGAUGCACGUACGCGUUCACUGCAUGGGCAGUCGAUGAAUGAAGAUGUCCCGAAUGAAGACAACUAGACGAUGAAGGGUAUAAACUGAAGCCCAGGAGCACCACUGUCCUACCCCCUCAGUUGUGAACUUUCACUGGAUUCUUUAAAUGUGGGCUGAAGAUAAUGGCACAUAAUUUGAAGGGAUGUGGUGCGGAUGGCUUUGCAGCCUUAAGACUGGGCAGUGAUCCAAACCAGUUAAGUGAAAGCUGCCAUUGCCAGACACAUUGCACACUGACAUUCUCUGGAAGCGUGGAAGGCUGCAUACAAAGUGUAGAAGUGAAAAAGUCCCACUGUGCACCGGCUGCCUGAAGAAAAGCUUUGGAGGAGUAGAGGA